UCCCUGUGUCUCAUGUGCUGCAGGGGGACCUCAAGCACCACAAAUACUCCCAAUUACACUACAAUUCACCGUGAGGCUUUUGAUACAGCUGCAGGAUCAGACGUCACGCGCUGCCACCUGACACUCCCACCUACAAACUCUUUCUACCUCUGUAACUACACUAACAGUUGUGUCUGAGACUCUGACUUUGAUAACAUGGACAUGAUGAAACAUGGUCGCCUCAGCUUUUUGAUAUUUCUGCUUUGGAUUAAAGGUCUCAUUGAUGGGAGUGAUGUCACACAAACAUCCAUACUAUGGACAAAGGAGGGUGAAAAUGCAACAAUACACUGCAACCACACCAAGAAUUUCGACUACAACCAGAUGUACUGGUACAAACAGCUGCCUGGAGAAAACAUGAAACUAAUUGUGUUCACAACAACAGCUAACAAAGAUCACGACUUUGGAAAUGAGAGAAAAGAGAAAUUCUCAGCCACCAAGGCUGACCCUUACAGUGGGACGUUCACAGUGAAGAAUCUGGGGCCAGAAGAUAAAGGCUUGUAUUUCUGUGCUGUUUAACUGAUGGCAGCGAUGUCACCCAGACUCCUCUGCUGUGGGUGGACGAGGGUAAAUCCGC